AUGCAACGCAACCAGUUGACCCACACACUCCUCUACACGCAGAGUGACUUUUUUUUUCUUAUAAUUGAGCAAUAUUAACCCCCAAUCAUGACUCCAAAGAAGGCAAGUGGAACUGCUGGUGCUGAAAAAAGGAAAGUGGUCUGAAGUGGAUACCUGAUCCGGAACCAACAGAUAUUAAGCCUCCAACUGCCGUAGUCAAGGAUCUACUGGUCAGUCAUGAGUACAUUAAAGCGGAGAAUGGCUCUGGUUGCAUCACCUCCAGUCAUACAACAGACUGCAGAAGCUACUUCUUGACAGAGGACAAAUCCCAUGUGGUCAGCGAUAAUAUGGCUCCAUAUCACAGCUUCCAAAUUUGCCUUAGUACUAACAGCAGCAAUAAUGGGGGAUGGGGGAAUCACCCAUGAAGCUGAUGCCCAGCAACUCAACCUGGAUCAACUGGGUGGUGCUGUAUGUGAAACUGGUAUCUGGCUUCACGAGUUGGGGGUCCAUGGGGAAUCUCCAGAUGGCAUUGUCCUUGUUCCCCCAUCAAGAGGGAAGAUACUCUGGCAAACAUCAGAGGCCCAGGACCUAGUGCCUCAAUUGAUUAAGGUCAAGUGUCCAUAUUCAGGAGUACAGAUAAAAAUAAUUGAACUUUGUUCUGGUCAAGAAGUUACACUGCCAUAAAUAUACUAUUUAAUGCUACUUUAACAUUGACUUUUGUUGUUAUUCUGGUGUAAUUUCAAAAGUACAAAAUGACAACCUCAUCCUCAAGAAAAGUCAUCAAAUACAGGGUCAGAUGUACCUCACAGGAACAAGAUGGUGUGACCUUGUGGGAUGGACACUGGAAGCCUAUACCAUUGUCAGAAUACCUGGAAAUAGAUCUUGGCUCCCUAACCUGGGUAUCCUAGUGGAUUUGAUUUUUCAACAUUUUUACCUUCAGAAUAGCCAUCUUCAAUAGUUGUAUCCGAUCGGAUACUAUGGUUUUGUCAUGUAUGCCGCAGAUCGGAAUUGACUUUGUAAGACAAUGAAGAUAUUUUUACAGACAGUUGUUAAUCAUGGUCACAAAGUUAAAAAGCUUUUACAAUAUGUUGUGUUACCUUUUAUGCCCUUUUUGCUCAUAAUUUUAAUUUAUUUAUUAUCAUGUACAAUAGAUAACUAAUAAAUGAGUUAUUUUAUGUUUAAAGAAAACUUUUUAUUUGAUUGUACUGAUGAUUAUAUAUACAUUGGAAUACAGAUUCAUCUUAUGUGAUUACCAUGGUGUGUUAGCUCGAAAUCACAACAUAACCUAUGCCACGUAUUUAAGCCUUGCAUUUUGUGUUACUAGUUGCCAGUUUGUUGUGUGAGACUGUGUGAGUCUAGUGUGAGGUACGAGGUUAUUGUGAGUAGUAUUUGUUUCGUUGCCACAUCCCAGCAUUGUUGUGCCACCAUAACCAUGUAUAUUUAAGUCUUGUUUUUGCCUUGUAGUUAUCCGACCCUGUUUUCAUGUUUUUGUGGCCUUGCCAUUUGCCACG